rnacentral:lncRNA from 1 species
GGGAGCAGAUAGAAUCUUCUAUAUGGUUUAGCUCUCCUUCACUUGAUAUGUCAUCCUCGAUUUCUUCAUAACACGAACCAGGACAUUCUCUAAGAGAACCAUUAUUGCAAGGAUUUGAAUUAUCCCUGCUUGAAGGUCUCUUAUGGAACCAGAAGUCUAAACCAUCCGCAUCUGAGAGAUUUAAGGUCGGAAUUCCUUCCUCCCUUGGAGAAUUUUGGGGUAUUGAUGGUUUAGGAUCGCUAGCUAAAGUUUGGGAUUGAAUUGGUUGUGAUGUGGCUAUCGAAACUUCUUCUUCUUGUCUAGGAACUGGUUCUUUCUCUUUCUUAGGGAUAUAAAUGCUAGGAGACUUUCCGCUCAUUAAAUCAAUCAAAUUCCAAGCUUCACUAGCAGGUAGGUGAUAGAAGGAUCCUCUAGAGGCUGUAUUCAAGGUUUACUUAUUUUCCCUACUAAGGCCCUCAAAAAAGUGAAUUAGAAGAACUUCUUCUGUAAUAGAAAGCUUUGGGCCAGUGAGAGUAAGGUUAAUAAAGCGGUCCCAUGAUUUGCCAAGAGAUUCUUCUUCCAGUUGUCUAAAAGAAAUAAUCUCACGCUGAAGUUUUGCCACUUUGGAUAUUGGAAAAUAUUUAAAAAGAAAACUAUUAUAUAACUCCUUCCAAUCUCCAUGAACACUCCCUACUUUGAGUUUGUACCAAUGUCUAGCUUUUCCUGUUAAAGAGAACGGAAAGAGCUUCCAUUUAAGGGUCUCAUUGGACAUGCCUUCAAUGCGAAGGAGGUCACAGACUCGAUAAAACUCUCUUAGGUGUGUGUAUGGAUUUUCCUAACCUUCUCCUAAGAAAGGUUAUUUUUGAACAAAUUCUAUGUAUUCGGGGUCUAUCUCAAAACUAGAUGUUAUGAUAGGCUUUGAAGAUUUUGGUGGUUCAAGAUGUGUGCCCGUGGGUCUAUGAAACUGAUAGAUAGACAUGUUUGCAUUCAUGAUAGACCAGAGAUCAAGGAUUAGAUAAAAAGAAAGAAUAGCAGAGAUGAGGCAAAGGAUAAAAGGAAAUAUAUUUUUUUUAUUUUUUAUUUUUUAGAAAAUGAUUAAGCUAGUUCGUAGUCAACUCAGCAACCGUCUCCCCGGCAACGGCGCUAAAAAUGCUUGUUGACACUUGCUAACACCACUUGAAUACUAAGUUGUCAUCCCCACCAUGGCACUAGAGUGUACUAUGGUAUUUAUACGCACAGAGAUAAAUCCACAGGCGCACGGAUACUGUUGUAGCUUUUACCCGGUUAAAGGUUUUAUCGUAUCCAUAGGGAAACGGGAGAACCAACUACGCUCUAACUUAACCAAGAUAGAUAUUUAGGUGUAAACAGGAAAGAUGGUAGAAUUGAAUAAGAACAAUAUUAAAGGUAAAAUGAUAAUGGGGGAAUAUAGAGUAGAGCAAUCUAAUAUAUGGGUGAUGGUAGGAGAAUAGAGAGGAUAACUAUGGUUUCUCUACUUCAAAGGGUAUGUCUAUGUCUAGGACGAACCACAUGAUAAGAAUACACCACAAAGGAUGCUUAUCCAUAGGCCAAUAAACCCUACCAGUCCUACUAACGGGAGGUGGACUACAGAGGACCAACAUAGCUGUCACCUACGUGGCCUACCACACGAUCCGGCUAGACAGGGGAUAUCCACAAGUAAUCUAGGUCUAAGCACCACGCUUACACCUAUACUACAACUCUAACCUAUAGGGUCCUAUAGAUUAAAAGUACUCAAAAGAGUUGUGAACUAGAAUAUACAUGAAUAGUAAUUGCAUAAUGAAAUAGAAGUAGAUUACCAGUCAUCCCAUGAGCAAGCUUGAUUAGAGCUUGAUCAUGGCGAAGUACAACCGGAGGAAGAACCGACAGGCCGGCCUCUCCUCCAAUCCUCCCUCGCUCUCCAUCUCGCUACUAUCU